rnacentral:antisense_RNA from 1 species
UUAGAUGAUAACUAUCUCACUCCGGCCAGAGCCACCAACUCGGGCUGAAGCGUAAAAAAACCGACGUGAAGUCGGUUUUUUUA